CAGUCGUACCGACGAGAAAUCAACUUAUCGUGUGCGAACUUGUGGGCGUGCGUGAGUUUCGGCCUCGCUGUUUGCAUGUUUGUGCGCUUUGGGUGUACUUUUUCGUAUGGUAGGCCAACGUCAGUUUCGAUUAUCAUAAAAUGACCGGCGGAAUGUAGCUUCGAUUUCGGUUGAAGUGUUAUAGCCUCUGGUAGAUGUGGUGAUUGGGACUGAGGAUUGCAACGAAUAUCCUUUGGGCUAUCCGUCUGGCCUCUGAAAGUUGCUUGGGUGCUGAAAGCUUGCUUAUGGUUAUCUAAGUUAACGGUCAAUAGGUUAGAACGCGAUUACAUUCGUUAAGGAUGUUGGCGUAAUGGCUUUAAACGA
rnacentral:rRNA from 1 species